GUGAACGCUGGCGGUAGGCCUAACACAUGCAAGUCGAACGGCAGCACAGUAAGAGCUUGCUCUUACGGGUGGCGAGUGGCGGACGGGUGAGGAAUACAUCGGAAUCUACUUUUUCGUGGGGGAUAACGUAGGGAAACUUACGCUAAUACCGCAUACGACCUACGGGUGAAAGCAGGGGAUCUUCGGACCUUGCGCGAUUGAAUGAGCCGAUGUCGGAUUAGCUAGUUGGCGGGGUAAAGGCCCACCAAGGCGACGAUCCGUAGCUGGUCUGAGAGGAUGAUCAGCCACACUGGAACCGAGACACGGUCCAGACUCCUACGGGAGGCAGCAGUGGGGAAUAUUGGACAAUGGGCGCAAGCCUGAUCCAGCCAUACCGCGUGGGUGAAGAAGGCCUUCGGGUUGUAAAGCCCUUUUGUUGGGAAAGAAAAGCAGCAGGUUAAUACCCCGCUGUUCUGACGGUACCCAAAGAAUAAGCACCGGCUAACUUCGUG
rnacentral:rRNA from 1 species